CCCUUAGACGUUCUGGGCCGCACGCGCGCUACACUGACCAGUGCAACAAGCAUCCGUCCUUGGCCGACAGGCCCGGGCAAUCUUUGAACGCUGGUCGUGAUGGGGAUAGACUUUUGCAAUUUUUGGUCUUCAACGAGGAAUUCCUAGUAAACGCAAGUCAUCAACUUGCAUUGAUUACGUCCCUGCCCUUUGUACACACCGCCCGUCGCUCCUACCGAUUGAAUGGUCCGGUGAAGCCUCCGGAUUGGCGCGCACCUCGGUGCCGCCGAGAAGUUGGCUAAACCUUACCAUUUAGAGGAAGGUGAANUCGUAACA
rnacentral:rRNA from 1 species